GACGAACGCUGGGCGGCGUGCUUAACACAUGCAAGCGAACGCUGAAGCCCGGGCUUGCCCGGGUGGAUGAGUGGCGAACGGGUGAGUAACACGUGAGUAACCUGCCCCUGACUCUGGGAUAAGCGCUGGAAACGGCGUCUAAUACUGGAUAUGUCCCAUCACCGCAUGGUGUGUGGGUGGAAAGAUUUAUCGGUUGGGGAUGGACUCGCGGCCUAUCAGCUAGAUGGUGAGGUAAUGGCUCACCAUGGCGACGACGGGUAGCCGGCCUGAGAGGGUGACCGGCCACACUGGGACUGAGACACGGCCCAGACUCCUACGGGAGGCAGCAGUGGGGAAUAUUGCACAAUGGGCGCAAGCCUGAUGCAGCAACGCCGCGUGAGGGAUGACGGCCUUCGGGUUGUAAACCUCUUUUAGUAGGGAAGAAGCGAAAGUGACGGUACCUGCAGAAAAAGCACCGGCUAACUACGUG
rnacentral:rRNA from 1 species